rnacentral:misc_RNA from 1 species
UGGUUCUGGCAUCGAUGAAGAACGCAGCGAAAUGCGAUAAGUAAUGUGAAUUGCAGAAUUCAGUGAAUCAUCGAAUCUUUGAACGCACAUUGCACCCCCUGGUAUUCCGGGGGGUAUGCCUGUUCGAGCGUCAUUAUAACCCCUCCAGCCUCGCUGGGUGUUGGGCCUUGCUGUACAGCAGGCCUUAAAACUAGCGGCGGUGCUCUUAGGCUCUACGCGUAGUAAUUCUUCUCGCUAUAGGGUUCUAGGGGACGCUGGCCAUCAACCUCAAUUUCUCAUGGUUGACCUCGGAUCAGGUAGGGAUACCCGCUGA